GCAAAUUGAAGGCUCAAAUCCUAACCAAAACGAAAUCCGAGCUUAGAAUUGUGUUCCUCGUCGCAAGAGGAUUAAGAGGCAAAGAGUCCGGUUCAUCUAGCGGACAAGCCGAGGGGAAUUCAUGAGGAAAAGGCGCGCUUUAAAGCUUUCAGGUACCCAAGUGAAGGAUGAAGAUCAAGCUUGUCAAGUCAAUAUUUUGACAUUUAAUGCAAG